CAGCAGCAGCCGCGGUAAUACGAAGGGGGCUAGCGUUGUUCGGAAUUACUGGGCGUAAAGGGCGCGUAGGCGGCCAUUCAAGUUAGAUGUGAAAGCCCUGGGCUCAACCUAGGAAUUGCAUUUGAUACUGUUUGGCUUGAGUUCGGGAGAGGUGAGUGGAAUUCCCAGUGUAGAGGUGAAAUUCGUAGAUAUUCGGAAGAACACCAGUGGCGAAGGCGGCUUACUGGCUCAUUCUAGACGCUGAGGUGCGAAAGCGUGGGGAGCAAACAGGACUAGAUACCCGAGUAGUCCCUGUCUCUUAUAC
rnacentral:rRNA from 1 species